UAUAUUCUCAUAUUUGUAUAACCAGGGGCUCUGGGUGGCCGAGCACGACUUUUGCCAGGCGAAGGAGGCAACCGUUGCCGGAGAUGCAGCUGUGGCCGCCCGCCUCCCGACGCUCCGUAGGGAGUACCAACUACAGUCGACCCUCUCCGGUACGCUGAUCUACCACAGCAUCCACGACAACGAGCCCCCGCCCGCGAUGGCGGCGAGAGCGACGACGGCGACUCCAACGACGAGUAGAUGUAGUAUGCUAGUAGUAUGAUGUUUCAUAUUUCUGUUUGUAUUUAACUCCCGUAUGGUAUGUCUAGAUUAACUCCCCCAUGACAUGCUUGUGAAGAACUGAUAUGUUUUUAGCGCAAACUGGUAAUGUUUGAAUUUGAGGUAUGUAUUUG
rnacentral:lncRNA from 1 species